AUAUGUGUAAUAAUAUGCUGUGUUUUAUAGAGGACCAGUUCUAGAGCAUAUAGAAGAUUUUGAAGAAUCAGAUCUCGAGAUUAAAUCAAAACGCCAUCAAUAUUGGAAUGUUUCCCAGCAAACAUUUGAGAAAUAUAGAAAAAGGAUUACCUACCUCCGUACAAAACUGAAGAAACAGAAUGAGAAAAUUAGAGCCAUGAAUAGAAUACUUGAUGACUUGAAGAAGAAACAAUGAAUAUAUCAUUUGAAAGAAACAUGACCAAAGUGGCAGGAAGUUGAAAUAAAAGAUGGGAUUCAGUUGUUACACUCUAGAAUGACACAGGUCUCCAUGCAUCCAAUAAUAUGUGGAAUAGGCAUUUGAAUGGCCUAAGAAAGAAGAUGGAAGCUGUAAGAAAUUUUGUUGCAAGUGUGGCAUAUUCCAAUAAAUAUUUUCAGUCCGAUUUACCUUUUGUGACAUAUCGAAAGAAGAAUAACAUUUUUGCCUUUCUCAGAAGUAGACAUUUCAUUGAUGGCAGAGUAUAAAAAAUAUUUCUCUUGAGAAUGAAAAAACUUUUCAGAAAGGUGGUUAGUUUAAGAAUUAUUCAAUCACCCACGAAUAUCAAACUGAAUUUGCUUACCAAAUCCCAUAAAUAAAUCAGAUUUCAUUGGAUUGUCUGUUCAAUAAGAGUCCAAAAUGUGUUCUAUAAGUUCAUCAAGCUUCGUCAAAUGUCUCUUCACUUGAUCCAACUUGAUUCAGGAUAACAUUGAUAUUCGUUUUCAUUUCAGUAUUAAUCUCAUAGCAAUGCAUGUACAUGUAUUGCAGAUUUUGCUUUAUCUAAACGUGUUUGAACUAGUGUUUCUUCAGUGUUCUGAAUGUCAUGUAAUUUUAUGCAAAGUUGUUGUAGAAAUAAAACAUUGGAAUAGGUGAUGUUGA